rnacentral:tRNA from 14 species
UCCUCGUUAGUAUAGUGGACAGUAUCUCCGCCUGUCACGCGGAAGACCGCGGAAGACCGGGGUUCGAUUCCCCGACGGGGAG